rnacentral:pre_miRNA from 1 species
UUACUACUUCCUCUGUCCGGAAAUACUUGUCGCACAAAUAGAUAAAAUUGGAUGUAUCUAGAACUAAAACACAUCUAGAUACAUCCAUUUCCAUGACAAGUAUUUCCGGACGGAGGGAGUAUGAU